UACGAAGGGGGCUAGCGUUGUUCGGAUUUACUGGGCGUAAAGGGCGCGCAGGCGGCUUUGUUUGUCAGGCGUGAAAGCCCCGGGCUUAACCUGGGAACUGCGUUUGAUACGGCAGGGCUAGAGUUCGGGAGAGGAGAGUGGAAUUCCCAGUGUAGAGGUGAAAUUCGUAGAUAUUGGGAAGAACACCGGUGGCGAAGGCGGCUCUCUGGACCGAUACUGACGCUGAGGCGCGAAAGCGUGGGGAGCAAACAGG
rnacentral:rRNA from 1 species